GCAAGGAACAAGUGGCACGUUCCAGCGAUUAUCUCGACGGUCAGUUGAGCUUUCGCGAGAAGUUGAUGGUUCGGCAUCAUCUGAUGUUCUGCCGUAAUUGCCGGCGGUUCAUUCGUCAGAUACGGCUGAUGCAGGCGACGUUGCGUGCCAUGCCGGAAGAGGCGGUGCCAGACGUUGAUGCACUGGCUGAACGUCUCGCUGCCGAGCGUCGCAAGGACAAUCCGUAGCAGAGGAUAUUUAUCGCGCGGAUCAAGAAACAGACUCGCGUGG
rnacentral:sRNA from 1 species